UCUCUCUUUUUUCCUUUAGUUUUUCAGUUUUUCUCUAUCUUCUCCAUUAUGAGCAAGACAACGGAUCCUUUCAUAUCUCCUAAAUUUCAGUUUGAUCUCGACCAGUGCCUUCAUAUCUACUUUCUUUUUUUGCACCAAAUCUAAAAUUUUAUCCCUCCUAAGUUCAUCGCCAACAAGUUCUUCGAAUGAUAUGGAUUGUGGCGGUCGAAUUUAAAAUCAAGUCGAGAAGAGAUUGAUACUGGUAAGGUGAUUUUGAAGAGAUUCAGAGAGCUUUAAAAAUUUGUUGCAGGGUUGAUAGCAUACCUCUUGUGGAAUAUAGUGGCAGUAACGUAGCUUGGAUCAAACGAAGAGGUCCCACUAUAUGCUUGAAAUUGUUUUAUGGGUUAAUCAUAGGAAUAUGAAGGGACAACAAGGUUGGACAAAUAGAUUUAAGAAAUCAGACCAUGCAUACUAAUGUAAAUAUUUACCACUUUUCUUUCAGUUGUUUUAUUGUUAUUGAGUUUUUUUGUUUAUCAUAGAUUUAUACAAGGCAAAAGAAAGACAGCUCAUGUUGCAAUCAAAGAACGUGAAGAUGACAUAUUGGUGUUGUUGUUGGGAC